UACGUAGGGUGCGAGCGUUAUUCGGAAUUACUGGGCGUAAAGCGUGCGCAGGCGGUUAUGUAAGUCAGCUGUGAAAUCCCCGGGCUCAACCUGGGAACUGCAUCUGUGACUGCAUAGCUAGAGUACGGUAGAGGGGGAUGGAAUUCCGCGUGUAGCAGUGAAAUGCGUAGAUAUGCGGAGGAACACCGAUGGCGAAGGCAAUCCCCUGGACCUGUACUGACGCUCAUGCACGAAAGCGUGGGGAGCAAACAGG
rnacentral:rRNA from 1 species